UUCACCAGAGUGCAAAACCUGGUCACGAUAGCCCAGCCACUUCUUAACAUUUAAAUACAAUUGACCUGCCAAACCACCAGUAACAAAUCUUCUGGAAGAUGUUCUUGCAUAGUCUGGGUCUAGAGCAAUGGCCUUCAUUGGUCGGUGAUACUCAAAUUUCAUCCUCUCAUCAGUAAAAAGACUAUUUAUUACAACAGAGCCAUCAUCAGAGCAGCUACCAACGUAUUCUCCGUCUGUGUCAAAGCAAAGGUCAUUGACAGCAGCAGUGUGAGCAGCAAACUCCUUAACCUGAUUACCGAGAAAAUCGAGAAUGUGAACAGCUCCACCGUGUGUUCCUAGGGCGAUCAUUCGUUCAGCGACGGCAAUACAAGUAGCAGCAUCAGCAGACAAAAGCGACGGCACACUUGCACCCAUUCUCUGAUACUUCAACCUCGGUUCAUCCUCUUCUUCUUCCUCCGCCUCCUCUUCUUCAGAAUCUUCUUCUUCUUCGUCCCUCUCAUCGUCGCCGUCGAUUCCAUUUUCCGAUGGCUUUGGAGACAUGCCGAACACUAUUUACCGCCGUAGAAGAAUGAUUGAGAGAGAGAUUAUUUAAG
rnacentral:misc_RNA from 1 species